UAACAACCAUGAAGCGAUAACUUAAGUUCCGUAAGAGAAAAUAAGAAAGGAGAAUGAAGAAAGAAAAAAAAAACGAAAGGACCAAUUUUAAAUAUGUACAGCACCAAGAUGAGUCCUGUCCGAAAGUAAAAAAACCACUUCGAGGACACACGUAAACAAGGGUAAUCUAAAAACAAAGAAUAGGCUCGUCUAUUGAGCGAUACUAUCCAAUCCAAACACUUUUAAAAGGAUUAUUAAGAAAAUAUACAAUUUACGAUCCCUUUGUUUCGUAUUAACACUUCGUAUCGAUCAAAUAAAAAAUCCUUACUAUUCUUUCAAACAAAGAACGUACUGUAUCACAUUCAAUGUUACACUGAUGGAGUUAUUAUCUUAUUUGAACAGCAGACAUAAAAAAUUCGAAACUUUUCAAAAAGAGGAAGGAAAGAAAUCGAUACGAAAGGUAAAAAAUAGUGGAAAUCAGGCGGACUCCAAACGCCAGAUACAAACACGGAUAUUAGUAAUAUUAAGCAGGGAAACCGAGCUGGAUGUUUAUUCCUUAGCUAUAUAAAACUAAUAUUUAAUAUUAAGCCUUUAUUACCACUUUACCAAGCCUAAGAGAGAAAACUCGGUGUUUAUUGGAAAAGUGGUACUAACAAGUGUGGGAAGUAUGUUUGACAGAUUCAUUACAUUAGAGGCAGUCAGCCAAGCGUAUAAAUAAGGGGUAUGCACUUGUCCGAAUAUCACGCUUUACAAUUGAAAAGUUACAAAUUCAAGUUUUUACUAAAAAGAAUUCUUUCCAAUCGAGUUGGAUGGAAACGUGUUAUGUGCGAGUCAGUCUGUGUAUACUACAUGAAUCAACCGCAUUGGCGUUGAAGCGAAAGGAAAAAGAGUACUAUAAUAUUAUAUUUGCGACUGAAGUUUAAGAGAUAAUUGAUUUUGAUUAUACGUAAAAAGAGCAAGCUGUUG